rnacentral:rRNA from 1 species
CCUACGGGCGGCAGCAGUGGGGAAUAUUGCACAAUGGGGGAAACCCUGAUGCAGCGACGCCGCGUGAGUGAAGAAGUAUUUCGGUACGUAAAGCUCUAUCAGCAGGGAAGAAAAUGACGGUACCUGACUAAGAAGCCCCGGCUAACUACGUGCCAGCAGCCGCGGUAAUACGUAGGGGGCAAGCGUUAUCCGGAUUUACUGGGUGUAAAGGGAGCGUAGACGGCAGCGCAAGUCUGGAGUGAAAUCCCAUGGCUUAACCAUGGAACUGCUUUGGAAACUGUGCAGCUAGAGUGCAGGAGAGGUAAGCGGAAUGCCUAGUGUAGCGGUGAAAUGCGUAGAUAUUAGGAGGAACACCAGUGGCGAAGGCGGCUUACUGGACUGUAACUGACGUUGAGGCUCGAAAGCGUGGGGAGCAAACAGGAUUAGAUACCCCGGUAGUC